UAUCUAUCUACCUACCUAUCUAUCUAUCUAUCUAUCUAUCUAUCUAUCUAUCUAUCUAUCUAUCAUCUAUCUAUCAUCUAUCUGUCAUCUUCCUCUAUCUCUCUCUCUCCCUCUGUCUCUCUCUUUGUCUCUGUCUCUUCUCCCCAGCCUUCCCCAAUACACAUACACACACACUUUAUAGAAUUAGAGAAAGAGAAAGUAAAUCAACUUUGGAAACAAGGCAUUUUAAACAAAAGUGUUUAUGAACAAAGAUAUAUUGAGCAAUAUGACAUCAUGAGAAAAUACUCUAAGUUCCCUAACAGGGAAGUAGGAAGUUUGAAAAAGGAAAAAGGAUGACAUAUCAUUGAAGGAGUUAUUGAUUAGGAAACGUUCCUUUUCGAAAGUAAAACAGAAGGCUAAUUAAAUAGGAAACAUUAUCCACAUGAUGCUGAUGAUGGCACGUGCCUGUUAUGCUAGCAUCACAGAUGGUGGUGGCAGAAGGAUCAGGACUCCAGAAUCGUUUGCUACAUAAAUGCUAGCCUAGGCUACACAAGACCCUGUCUCAGGAAGCAAAACCAAAGAUAAUACAGUCCAUGCAAUCUGCUAAUUUGUGCUAUCAAAGACGCAGAGUGAAUGAUAGUAGUGUAGAAGGCAGUGUGUGUGUGGAGGGGGGCAUUCUGACAAGUCACACCACACACCUACCUAAAGGAAGAUGUAAAAAAUCUUCUACUCAAAGUUUUCUUUACAACAAAUUAUCCUUAAAUACAAGAGUUAGAUUCAGUAUAAUAUUUACCAGGUAGAUACAAUCAUCUUUUAUUACCAAACUCAGCUUGCCAGCUUCUUUCACUAGCAUGGCUGUAGCAACACCUGCUUACAAAUAAACUGGGGGAUCAGCAGAAACAGGAUCUGCAGGCCUCCUGUAGCUUGAGAGUCAUUUUGGGUACCAAACUUAGUUGGAGGGCAGACUACAAGAAUAGGGAUUGGGGGUGGAAUGGGAUCAAAAGUAAGGUGGGUGGUGAUCUCCUGAAAACAAUAGGGUGGCCUGCAGUUUUUGUGAUAAGUCUUCCCUGAUGAGGAGAUAGGAGCAAUCUGGCCUGUGACUAAGGAGCAGGCCUUAGUACCUUGCCCAAAUCCAUCAUCUGAGAGGUUAUCUAGGGAAACAGAGUAGUCUAUUCAAUUGUCCUUUAGACAACUAUCCAACAACAUCUCACUGGUCCUAUAGCCUCUGUCAGUACUGAAUUGAUCAGCCUUGUUUGACCAGGAAUUGAACAGAUUUGCCCCCUACCCCUGGCUCCUGGAUUCUGUGGAAAGGAUCUAUCAGUCCUCAGCCAAAUGGUGAAAAGACAACCUUUUCUCUCUUCCAAUUUAGCCAUUGAUUCUUCUGACUCCUUCUAUUCAAUCUUUGCAUUGUUUUACUUUUGUUUGGGGUGGUUGCUUUUUUUUUUAUUGUUGUUGUUUUGUUUGUUUGUUUUAGUUUCUUCGUUUACAGUAAGAACACUGGUCCUUUUCCCAGUAUAUGGUGGCUUGAAUAAAAAUGACCCUAUGGGUCUCUAAUAAGUGCCUCUAUUGGAAGAUGUGGCCUUGUUGGAGUAGGUGUGCUUUUGUUGGAGAAAGUGUGUCGCUAGGGAGUGGAAUUUGAGGUCUCAGAAGCGCAAGUCAGUUUAUUUUCUGAUGCCUGCUGAUCCAGAUGUAGAGCUCUCAGCAGCCUCUCCAAGAACCACGUCUGCCUGCGUGCUGCCAUGCUUCCUGCCAUGAUGAUAAUAGACUAACCCUCUGAACUGUAAGCCAUUCUCAAUUAAAUGUUUUCCUUUAUAAGAGUUGCGGUGGUCAUAGUGUCUCUUCUCAGCAAUAAAACCCUAAGAUGCAGUGUCUAUGGCUCCCCCUCUGGGAUCUCUUUUAUUGAUCUCCCUGAGCGCACAACCACUGCCAGUUCAAUCUUUUGUUUGCUCUUCCUCUACCGAGUGACUGUUAUCAUACCCUCAAACACAUCUAACUCCUGGUGUUUCUUUCUAAUAUCUAGGACCAACUACAUAACAAAAGCAAUAUUGGUUACUUGCUGGUUUUUAGAACAUGAGCACAGGGGUUGAUCCCAGGAUUCUGUGCCUGCUAAGCAAACAUUCUGUCACAGAGCUACACCUCCCGUUCCAGAUGAAUUACUGGUGUGAUGAAUUUGACUUCAACUUAAUGACACAACUUGUAAUGUUACCAAAAAAAAAAAAAAAAAAAGGAAUAAUUCCACAAGGCAAACAUUCAAACAUAAAUCCACGAAGUUGAACGUCAUCAGCGAUCUGAUUCAUUUUAUGAUUAGAAUAACAUUCCUUAAUAAUUCUUAUAUAACAUGGCUUGAGAUACCCAAAGUACAUAUUUUCUAUCAACACAAAUGCUUCUUCACCAUGUAUCCUAGGAAAAAAAUCACCUAGGGGUGAUUAUUAAAAAAAAAAAAAAAAAUCAUUCAGAUCAUUUGGCUCAAUUCCUUCCUGACAGGCUGAUUGGAACACCUGGGUCUAGAGACCUGGAAUCUGCAUUUUUAACAAGAUCCUUCCUGAUUCACCAAGAUGCUGGGUUUUAAGGGACAUUCUUUGAAACAAAUAAAUGGAGCUUAUACAAUGUUAGGCUGAAUCUUUAGUUAGGGCAUCUAGAGGGUUAGGACACUGUCAGUUUGUUCUCCUUACUGAAUAUGUCAUAUUAUGGUACUAAACAAGAAUGGAUUCAGCACUUUGAAGGAGCAGGGGGCAGGGGGACAAGGUAAGAUUCCGUUCUUUGCUAAAGUAAAUAAUAGCGAAUUAAGAAUGAGUGGUAUAAAUUGUACUACAUUCUGAUAACUUGAAAUCUCCAAAACAGAAUAAAUUACUGACUAGUGCACUUUAAAUGGACAUCAAGAGUGUUCCAAAUUACCAAAUGUUUUGCCAUUUUGAUAAAUUGGUUUUAAUUUUUUAUCAGCCUAUAUUUAAGUACUCUCCAGUAAUGUGUGCCAGACAGUUCCAUUAGGCAUCUUCAACUGCACUUAUUUUUUUAAUGUAUGAACUGUAUAAACUAACCAUAAUUUGGAUAGUGUGGUGCCUAAUUCCAUUACACUGCUGGGAACGGCCCCUCCUGGGUUUGGGUCAGCAAGACACACUGAACUGUAAGGACAAAAAAUGUGAAAAUAUAAGGUAAGGUAUCUAUAUUUGGAUUCUGGAAAAUUAAUUCCUGAACACAAAGAGAAAAAUCAAAACCCUACCGUGUCAAAGGGAAAUGAUUUGAUGGAGAAAUGAGAAGACAUUUGGAUUGCUUCGCACAAAAGAGGUGGAGAAAGGAAGAAAGGCGCUCCCGUCCUGAGUCUUAAGAAAGCAUAAUUAACUCCUUGGCACCGACAGAUAGACUCGCACUGAAUGUGGUGUGCUGCCAGGAAAGGACACGCCUGGAGCCGCUGGCCAAGAAGAAUUACAGGCAUUCGCUACUACUUUAAAAUAUUCAUGUUUCAGCUACAACACUGCAUAUUUUCGAUUGACAGAUAUGGAAAAGAAAUUAACUUUUUCUUUCUGUCUUUCCUUGGCAUGAGCCCUGGACACAAUUAACUCCUGCAUUCACCAAAUGUGAUCGUUACCGUGGGAGAAUUCACUUUUUGGAAAUUGAGUCAUGAGUUUGUUGGGGCUUCCUCACAAAUUUGAAGGCGAUAUUUGUCCACUGAAAUCCAAUUCUUUUGCCUCUUUAGAGACCCUGAAAGAUUUCAGUACAACAAAACCGGAAGAAGCAUCCCACUCUGACACGACUUUCUCCCUACCUGGAAGUAAACAAAACAUUAGUCAAACCCCCUCCUCAAGGAUUUUUCAUAAUCAUCCAGAGAUAACUGAAGGUUAAAUAAAGACAACAUAGAUACUACAUGCACCCAAGCAAAAAUCACUGCCAAUAUUUCCUGCCAUUUCUCUCAACUGAUAACUUCUUUUAUAUGUAAAAGGCACUAGAGUUGUUUUACAAAAAGCAGAAUUAAGGACGAGAAAGAUUCACAUAAGUCUUUUCCAUUGCUAAAGAAUCAGUGUUAAAGAUUGCUUUGAGUAUCAAGAAUUACAGUUUGUGAGACGAUUAGGAAUUUGAAGUAUAUUUAAAUAACAUGUUUUUAACUCUCCUUUUGUUUUUGAUAAAGCUCUCAGUUUCAAGAUCAACCAUCCAACACUGCAAAUAUGCCCCGCCCCGCUAAGUUACAUCAAAACAAUUAAAGUAGUUGUAGAUAAACCACCUGGACUGGUCUGCACUUUUGUUGCUGUGACAAAAUACCUCACAUUACAAACUUAAUAAAGAAAAGAGGUUUAUUUCGCUCAUAUUCUUGAAACUUGAAAGUCCAGCAUAGAGAGAGGUUAUCUAUCCCAUCAGCCUCUGCUGAUGGCAUCUUGGUGGCAAGCAUCAAAAUGGUAGGUGUGUGCAAAAGAUAGAAGAGAUGGCGAGCCAGGCAGGAAUCCAAAACCACCAGAAGCAGGAAUAUGUUUCUUCACCCUAAGAACUCUCUGUCAGAACUAAGUCUGUUAGGUUGGUCUUAGUCCCUUCUCAAAGCAGCACCCUCUGCCCUAAGUCUCCUGCACUAGGACUUAUGGGAAAAUGGUCCCAUCACCUCUCAACCCUGCCACACUGAGGACCAAUCUUUAAGCACACUAGUGUUUGAGUAACUCCCUUGUAUCCUAUGUGAGCAGAGCAGACCCAGGUAUGUCUGUCUCGGAACCAGCAUAAGGACUUACAGCGGUUAGGUGCUGGUUACCUGCUGAAAGGAAAGAAAGUGGUGCUCCUCUUACAUGUCUGCUGAACAGGGUUGACUAUUUAACUCUAUGAUUCUAAAGUCACAACUUUACCCGUCGGACAGAUCCCCUGGCAAUUUGGUUUAUGGUAUUCUGCUGGUGUUAACUAGGAUUUUACUUUUUUGAAACUGUAUUCUGUUGUAAUGGGGUGUGUGUGUGUGUGUGUAUACAUGGGCAUAUCAUAUGGAGGUCAGAUAUCUACACCAGGUAUCUUUCUCAAUUCCUCCCUGCCUUAUUUUUGAGCCAUGACCUCUCAUUGAACCUGGAAUUCAUUGAUGGAGAUGACCUGCGCAUCUCCAGAACCCCGACCCCUGUCUCUGCCCUGAAGCAUUGGCAUUAACCCCAGGCUGCCACACUGCGUUUUAUAAAUGUCUGCAUUAAGUGCUAGGGUUCAGCCUCAGUUCCUCAUGCUGACAUAGCAGUCCGUUUACCUGCUAAGCCAUGCCUCCAAUCCCAAACCUUGUAUUGAUUAUGGAUCCUUUGUCACUAAACUGUAAUUAAUGACGUGCCCAACGGCUGUUGGAAAUACUGGUCAUGAUCACUCAGGGAAGCUUUGAAUUUGUCUUCCAAGUGUACACGGCUAUGGCCUCCUUUUGAUAGAGGAGCACAUGAUUUAAAUUCAGGAUGCGGCAUUGGCCGUACAGGGAAAGCAACUCAAUAAUAAUGAUCAACUCGACAUUUCAAUAGAACUGACAGUUUGCAAGGCUUCGUAUGGAUUACCGUCUUUGAUUCUUAUAAUCACCACUUGUCACAUAUAAAACACUAACAUUGUCUCCGUUUAAGCACAAAUUGAAUACUCUAGUGGACUGUGUAGUAACUGUAUAUACUAAUCUACCUGUUUAUAUUGAAAGGGAAAUUUAUACCUUAAAAAUACUCUACGAGGGAUGCUUCUUCAUUUUGAUUUGUUGGGUAGUCACAUUUUUAAAAAGGAGAGAGAGAGGCUUAUUGAUAUUUUCAUUGAACAAGAGACAUCUCCUGUCUUCUCAUUUGCUCUUUUAUUUUGUUUAUGUCUUUUAGGAAGUGAAGGGCCCCCAACCUCAAACAUUCAGAAGUAAUGGGAAUGGUCUAUGCCUGUCGUUUUUCUCUUUGCAAAUAAUAGGGCUAAAUUCCUGUCUGCAUAGAGAUAUAAUAUAUAAUAUACACAAUUUUACUGAGCAGAUUCCUAGUUCAGGUUUGCUCCUAUUAAAGAUUUGAACAGUGCUGAAAUUAGGGACUUUUUAUGAAUAUAUGUGGGGCAGAGAGUUGGAGGGGUCACGGUUUAAUAAAAAGUUCUUAAUUUCAGAUAUGCAUGCAAGUGUCUAUCUUUGAAAACCAUCUUUCAAGUUAUUAAUACACAACUCAUUGCUUGGGGAAAGAAUUUGUAACUUAACACCGCGUCUCAAUCAGCUUGAGCUGCCA
rnacentral:lncRNA from 1 species